AGAUUGAGUUGCUGCAGUUUGUCAGAGACCAGCUGUGCUUCUCUGGCCUCAGCUCUGAAGUCCAACCCCUCCCAUCUGAGAGAGCUGCAGCUGUGUGGAAACAACCUGCAGGAUUCAGGAGUGAAGCUGCUGUCUGAUCUUGUGGAGAGUCCACACUGCAGACUGAAGACUCUGGAGACUCUGAGCUGUAAGCCGUGAUCUCUGUCAGUGUGGUUGCGUUGAGAGGACCAGCUGUGUCCUGAUGAUCCAGAGGUUGAAGCAGCAGCAGCAGCAGCAGCUGGUGUGUGGAGAGGCUCUGACUGGGCCAUGUUACCGGGAGGUGGAGUGGAGAGGAGAGCUGACGGAGGAAUCACAACAAGUGGAGAUGACUGUCAGUGCUGCAGUCUGAACUGCUCUGAGAUCAGCUCCACUGUCAGACACAAAGGCAAGUCCACCAUCGUCCCUGUGUGUUCCUCUGGAUGUGGCAGAGUAUCGUCGGUGUAUCUGGACUCUCUGCUGCUGCUCUGUCUUCUACAUUUGGAUGAAAACCAGGAUACUGUGUUUUUUUAGCUAGCUCAUAAGUUCAUCAGGAAGACCUUAGUCUAAUUUAAUGUGGCUUAGCUGAUCUAUAAAGUAUAUUUUUUAUCAACGAUUAAUAAAGCCGUUAGUUACAGCAUGACCUUAAAUUAUUGAGCCCUUAAUUCACAGCAAGACAAGCAGAGCUGAACCGUUGAGCUUGAGAUGCAUGUUAGCUAAUCUGGAUUUGGCCAUUAGGGGUUUAAAUUGACAUGAUUUAUCUGAAUGCAUCAAAUGUUGAAGUAUGAAAUCGGUAAACACGAGACCAUGAGCCAGUUUCCUCUGCAAUGAUGACUGUGGAGGAAAGUCUCUGUUCAGCUUUUACGUAUUUGUUACCUUGUGGAUAACACUUUACUCUAGACACUUUAGAAGCAGUAUGUACACAUUUAAUUCAUGAUUUACAACACCAUAUAAUGUAGCUGUUAGCAGAUGUAAAAAACACUCUAAAGUGUUAAUCAGUGUUUUUAUCAACAGCUGAUCAUUAGCUGAACCUCUCCCCCGAACAGUCACAUCUUAGCAACCGUAACUGUGACGGUCUGUCAAGCUUUGGACUCUACAUGAAGUGGUGUGCAUGGGACUGUAGUGAUAGAGAUACUCUGCAUUUAAAGAGUUUUUAGCCUUUCCAAACGUGUAAAGAACGGAUUAAACAUUGUUAAUUUGCUCUAAAACUGCUAACGUUAGCAUGCCUGGCUAUACAAGAACCAUGUUUAUUUUUUCCAUGUCUUGGUUUAUCCACUGGUGAGGUUGCUCACUGUUUGCCUGGGAUCUGUUAGCUUUAGCCUCCGUCUUUUAGCACGAUAUCAUGUAUGUCGCUAUCAACAGCGCAUUUAAGACCCAUUUCACAGGAUUAUGGUUUUAAAAUGAGUCAGCUUGAAACAUAAAAAGUCAGCUGGAGAUGCUGUUUUCAACUCAUGAACCUAACGUUAGCUUAAUGAGCUAGCUCACUAAAACUGAUCAAAUCUGCCAGCGCCAGGUGUUAUUUCUAACUAGCAAGUGCUGAUUUAGUUUACUUCUGUCUCAAAUAAAGGACCCAUUGUUUAAAAAAUAACGAUUUGAUGGUAAAUCUGCCACAGUUACUAUUUUAAACUGCAUAUAUGUGCAAGAAGGGAAAGUUUGACAAGUGUAGGAACAGCAGCUAACUAAGUUUGACCGGUGUAGCAGCAGCUAACUAAGGGGAGCGGGCUUAGUGGACGGUCAACUAUAACUUCUCUCUAAUUGGUUAUAACAGUUAAUAACUCCGCCUCCGUUAACUGCAGCGGCGGCUUCAACCAGUUCAUCCAGCGGUGUGGCAGAUCACACUCUGGGCUGUCGCGUGUUGCAGCAUCGUUGCGGUGUCUGUGGUCGGUAACAUGGUGGUCAUCUGGAUUAUUCUGGCGCAUAAUGCGCAUGAGGACCGUCACCAAUUACUUUCUGGUAAGUACCGUGUGUUUACUGUUACAAGCAGGAGUGAGUGUUAGUUCAGGUUCUUCUACCUGAAGGUGAGGCUUUGUUUGAGAAGAUGCUAAAACUUUUGAGCUCUCUGUGUUUCCUUUGGGAGAUUCUGGAGGAUUUAUGUUCCCACUCACAUGGAUUGAAAUUGAAUUUUAUUUUAUCAUCUGCAAACCAUCAUGAACUGACUCCUGUAUGAAAAUAAAUGUACUUUUGUGAAAUGAAGAUGCUCCUCAAGCACAAAGCAGGUGCAUUCAUGGCUGUCAAUAUAGAAAGAGAUGAUGAACUGCAACAAUCUUUAAUUGAAAUACAUUUUCUAUUUAUGUGGACAACAAAUGGUCCACAUGCCUGGGCUAAUUAAGUGAAUUAAUGCAGUCAUUCCAACUCUCUUGACUCCAGCAGUUAAACCAAAAAACUCUUUUUCAUCCCUUUUGACAGCACAGAUGAUUUAUCAAAACAUGGAAUCACUGAAAUGUAUGUACACUGUGUGAUCAUCAAGAACUAAAGAAUCAAAUCGCUGUGUAAGCAUUGGCUUUAUUCAUUUUAGGAUCCAGCUCGUUGCUCUCUGUAAAUAAACUCAUCAAUAAAUCUCUUGAUUAUU